rnacentral:rRNA from 1 species
AGAGUUUGAUCCUGGCUCAGGAUGAACGCUGGCGGCGUGCCUAAGACAUGCAAGUCGAGCGGGUUUAGACCCGCGGCAAACGGGUGAGUAAUACCUAGGAACAUGCCCUUAGUUGAGCAUAACCUGCCGAAAGGCAGAGCAAUUCUCAAUGUGACCCGCCUAAAUUUUUCUGUAUAAACAUAAAUGAAAGUAAUAAUUCUGUUACAUCAGUUUUAUUAGUCUAAUUUUUGAAAUUUUGUAUAGAAAAAUUUGGGUGGGUUAAAGUCGCAAGACGCUAAGGAAGUGGCCUGGGCACCAUCAGCUAGUUGGUAAGGUAAAAGCUUACCAAGGCUAUGACGGUUAGGGGCCCCGAGAGGGGAAACCUCCACACUGGAACUGAGACACGGUCCAGACUCCUACGGGAGGCAGCAGUUUGGAAUUUUGGACAAUGGGCGAAAGCCUGAUCCAGCGACGCCGCGUGGACGAUGAAGGUCUUCGGAUUGUAAAGUCCUUUUAUUAGGGAAGAAUAUUUUGACGGUACCUAAUGAAUAAGAGGUUGCUAACUCUGUGCCAGCAGCAGCGGUAAUACAGAGACCUCAAGCGUUAUCCGGAAUUAUUGGGCGUAAAGCGUGCCGACAGGUGGUUUUGUUAGCCAGUGGUGAAAUCUCCGAGCUCAACUCGGAAUCUGUCCAUUGGAACUGCAAAACUAGAGGGGCAAAGAGGAAGUUAGAACGAACGGUGUAGUAGUGAAAUGCGUUGAUAUCGUUCGGAAUACCAAUAGCGAAGGCAGACUUCUGGGUGCCACCUGACACUGCUAGGACGAAAGCGUGGGGAGCGAAUGGGAUUAGAUACCCCAGUAGUCCACGCUGUAAACGAUGUACAUUCGCUGCUAGGGAGUAUCGACCCUUCUUAGUAGCUAAGCUAACGCGUUAAAUGUACCGCCUGGGGAGUACGGUCGCAAGACUAAAACUCAAAGGAAUUGACGGGGACCCGCACAAGCGGUGGAGCAUGUGGUUUAAUUCGACGAUAAGCG